rnacentral:miRNA from 1 species
GGAAUGGGCUGAUUGGGAAGCA